rnacentral:lncRNA from 1 species
GGAGGUGGAAGCUCGCUGGCUACUAACACACAAAGUUGGUCUCCAGCUUUCUUGAGCAAUUCCACAAUCUGCCAGAUGACAUCAUCCUCUGCAAGAGAGCAUGGGUCCCAUCACUCCUAGGGAGAAGAGAAACACAUGUGGCGAUCAGAGGACAUCUCUCGGAAGCCAGUUCUCUCCUUUUAUUAUAUGGGUCCCAGGAAUCAAACUCACAUCAUCGGGGCUUGCUGGAACAUGCCUUUACCCUCUGAGUCAUCUCACAACCCAAAGCAUGAUGUUUUAUGCAAGGAUUUAAGGCCCGAUGUCCACCUGCCCUGUCAACUGAGUUUUCUAGAUCUGGAAACUUUGAAUUGGUGGUGGCUAAAUCACUUCCCCUCUGGAUCUUUACAGCUUUCCCUGUGAAAUAUGGGUCACAAUCUCUCAUGGGCUGUCAGGACAUCAAACAAAGAAGCGGGAAUUAGAAACAUUUCCCAAGGCUGAUUCCAAGUCUUCCAGCCCCACAUAAUAACAGGUCCCUAUCCUAAGGCACAGAGAGGACAUCGCUGGCGCUCCACAGGUCACACUGGACCUGCCCCAUGGCUGCUUCCACUACUCCUCACACCAGAACAUUUCCUUGGGUGGCUUGUUCUGCCUUACAAAAGGGUGACAUGCCCACUCCACUAGCUGUACCCCAAAGGUCUGUUUGCAUGAAAUGUCAAACUAACAAGCGACUCUGUCCCCGGCUUCCUGUUUCCUGACACUGUCUACAGUUCAUUUUCCUCUCAGGCAAGGCAAUGGUAAAGUAAAUACCUUACAAACUGGCCACAGAAAUGCCUUUCCAUCCCUUGCAUACCCUGCCUUUAAAAAUGCCGCCCUCGUUUUUAGACAAUUAAAUGAAGAGGGUAUUGUG